GAUGAACGCUGGCGGCGUGCCUAAUACAUGCAAGUCGAGCGAACGGACGAGAAGCUUGCUUCUCUGAUGUUAGCGGCGGACGGGUGAGUAACACGUGGAUAACCUACCUAUAAGACUGGGAUAACUUCGGGAAACCGGAGCUAAUACCGGAUGAUAUUUUGAACCGCAUGGUUCAAAAGUGAAAGACGGUCUUGCUGUCACUUAUAGAUGGAUCCGCGCUGCAUUAGCUAGUUGGUAAGGUAACGGCUUACCAAGGCAACGAUGCAUAGCCGACCUGAGAGGGUGAUCGGCCACACUGGAACUGAGACACGGUCCCGACUCCUACGGGAGGCAGCAGUAGGGAAUCUUCCGCAAUGGGCGAAAGCCUGACGGAGCAACGCCGCGUGAGUGAUGAAGGUCUUCGGAUCGUAAAACUCUGUUAUUAGUGAAGAACAUAUGUGUAAUUAACUGUGCACAUCUUGACGGUACCUAAUCAGAAAGCCACGGCUAACUACGUG
rnacentral:rRNA from 1 species